UCUUUCAUUGUUCAAACUGAGCUCAACUCCUGAUGCAUGGAGAAAAGGUCUUCACAAGCCUCUGCUAAUGUGUAGCCAACACUGUUUUAUAUAUAUAUAUAUAUAUAUAUAUAUAUAUAUAUAUAUUUUUUUUUUUUUUAAUUGGGGUAGCCCUCAAAAUAUUGGGACAUAUAAAAAAAGACAACUCCGCAGAGUAGCUGUUGACAUUAUAAUUGCGCAGGAAUUUUGUUGACUCUAGAGAACCUUGGGCAAAUCGCACAUCGCCGUGGCGGCGACUUUGCAUGCGGAUGUCAUCCAUAUCAACUUUCGAUGCCAGUUUCUGCGCCUACCAUGGUGACCACGGGUAACGGGGAAUCAGGGUUCCAUUCCGUACAUGGACCCUGAGAAACGGCUACACAUGCAAGGAAGGCAGCAGGCGCGCAAAUGACCCACUCCCAACGCGGGAAGGUAGCGACGACAAAUAACAAUACAGGACUCUUUAGAGGCCCUGCAAUUGUAAUGAGUCCACUAUAAAAUCCUUUAACUCUGAUCAAUUGGAGGGAAGUCUGGUGCAGAGCCACUGACCUGUGCGUGCUGCAGCUGAAACUCCACU
rnacentral:rRNA from 1 species